UAAUUGGAGAGUUUGAUCCUGGCUCAGGACGAACGCUGGCGGCGUGCCUAAUACAUGCAAGUCGA
rnacentral:rRNA from 1 species